rnacentral:lncRNA from 1 species
UAAAACUCAAAAAUCACAAAAAUGCUCUCCCUUCUCUCUAGAAACUCGCCGCCGGCGAGCUAAGUGGUGGUGGUGGUGGCCGGAGUUGCUCCGGCGCGGUGGCCGGCCGUAGCGCCGCCGCGUCGGAGCGUUUUUCUUUUUUUUUUCGAAAUUUUUACAUCAAAAGUUUCGUCACCACCUCCUCUACACAAAUCCGGCGUUAGUUUUAGCGAGAACGGAGCGAUUCGGACUAGAUCUACGUUUUUACUUUGAAUUUUUUUUCACACUUUUCGCAAAAAAAACUACGGAUCUAGAUAUCCUUUUCUCUAUAGAGUCCGAAUCCGGUCUCGGAAUUUCUAAAAUCCGAACGUACAAGCCUAGAUCUACAAAUACAUAUCCGUAACAAACUUUUUCACACUUUUUCUACACUAUAUGCGCGCGCGAAAAUGAAGAAAAAGAGGAGAGAAAUGCGUUACCUCUGUCGUAGAACGGAGAAAAAUCUUCGGAAAACUUCGAAUCUCCCUUUUUCCCCCUCCGUGCGCGCGCGUUUCAACUCCGUUUGUGGUUGUUUUUGCUCAAAAAUCCGGUACGUUUUGGUGUUGAUGUGAUGAUUCGCGGUGGUUUUGAGUGAAUCCGGUUCGGAUUUGUUGAUUUUGUGGUGAUUGGAGUUGAUUCUGAGCAGAUCCGGUUUAGAUCUGUUGAUUUUGGUGAUGAUGUGUUCUUGGUGUUCUUCCUCUUUUUUUUCUGAGAUUUUUCUGUUUUGAUUCUGUUAUGGAUGAGAGAGAGAAAAAGAUUAUGUUUGAGACUGAUUGUGAUUGAUUCUGAUUUUUUUUCUGACUGAUUGUGAUGGAUCUGACACAUUUACUAUUUAUAGCCUGCCAUGUGUAUUGGAGACCCAAUGGAAAAUUGACACCUGGACUGUUUUGGACUUAAGGACUAAUCUACAAAAAGGUUAAUAUGAGGACUAAUCUGCAAUAAAAAAGACUAAAAAAAAUGCAAUUAAAAAAAAAGUAUUGGACAAAAAUGCAAUUUUGGGACCCUUUUGGGGGACCGAAAUGUAAAUAAAAAAUAAAAUGAAUUAAAAUCGGUAAUUGGUAAAAAGGUAAAGUGAAACGAAAAAUAAAAUCAACAAACGGACUAAAACGAACAAAUUACCGACAUGAGGUAUUUUAAAAUACCUCCCUGUCGAAAUUUUGACAGGAAAAGACCAAAAUGCCCCUAGGGACUAAACUGACCCAAACUGACUCAGAUGCAAUUUUUGAAAUAAUUUUUAAACAAAGACUCAACAAUGAUUUGUACAGACAGGUUGAAAAGACUCAGAGGCAAACACAGGGACUAAAAUGGGUUCCACUGCAGGAAAUGACCAAAAUACCCUUUUGUAUGGUUUUUUUGAAAUAAAAUGCAAGAAAAGUAAUGCGACGUUUCAGAGGGUUCUUAAAUGACUUGUAACGUCAGAAAAGACAGAGGCAGUAAAAUAUGUUUUAAGAAAGAGUAAAGAUUCAGAGUAAAAUAACAGAGAACUGACAAAUAUCAGCGUUAAAAAAGAAAUUUGAACGAGUAUUUUUAGGUCCAAAAUCAGGGUAUAACAGCUGCCCCUAUUUAAGUUUCUUUGUCUGGAGGGUCAAGAGACGGAGUCUUUGACUUGACGGGACGAAGAUACUUAAAUAUUAACAUUGCACUGUGUUUGGACGUAAAAAUACGCUUGUACAUUUUCAAAUAUCAUGAAUGCCAUGCAACAUUUGGAUUAUGAGUGCAAGACAAACGAAAACUGGAAUUAACAAAAGAUGCCGUAUCCAUUGCGGGAUUGGUAGACAUUGGUAAGAUAACAGAUAACAGGGUAGAUAGGAGGCUAGGAACAAAUUGACGGGUACAAGCUGCUCUUGGAUUGAGCUGGGCACUUGACCAGGAAUAAAAGCAGACAAACAGGUGCGAGUUGUUCUUGGAUUCGAACUAGUCACUCGACCGGGGACAUGGAGAAGACAGGUACGAGUUGUUCUUGAUUCGAACUGGUCACUCGACUGAAAGCAAGGCAAAUAGACAGGUGCGAGCUUGUUCUUGGAUGCGAACUGGUUACUCCACCGGAGUCAAAGACAAAUAGACAGGCGCAAGCUGCUCUUGGAUCGAGCUAGCCACUUGAGCGAACAGAAACAGAUAGACGGGUACAAGCUGUUCUUGGACUUGAACUAGCCACUUGACCAAAAUCAUAGACACAUAGACAGGUACGAGCCGUUCUUGGAUUCGAACUGGUAACUCGACCGAUAACAUUGAAAAGUAAACGGGUACAAGUCAUUCUUGGAUGCGAACUGGUAACUUGACCAAACAGAAACAUAUUGACAGGUACAAGCUGCUCUUGGAUUGAGCUGGGCACUCGACCGAUAACAUAAGCAAAUUGAUAGGUACAAGCUGUUCUUGGACUUGAACUAGCCACUUGACCGAACAGAAACAAAUUCACAGGGGAUUAGUUUUUUUGACAAAAUAUAGGUUGAAAUUGACUUGACGUCGAUUUGAUUUGAAAGGUAGAAAUUGACCAAUAUUAUUGGCUCACAAGGUUUUGACAGAGAACCCGACAUGAGUAUUGAGUUGAGACUGUUGUUGAUAUUGGAAAUGCAAUAUGCAUGAAUGAUAUAACAGUUUCAUUAAAUGCGUGGGCACGUAAUAUGCAUGAUUAUGCAUGUAUGAAUGCUUGUAAUGCAUGACUGUUGGCGAUUUGUAGACACAGUUUCGCAGAGACAGACAAGACAUUGGAGUAUUGGGCACGUAGUGGCUCGUGCUAUAUUACACAUUCCUGAAAAUCCUCUUUGGAGAUGACGUCGUUGGGAGACGUAUCGGGACCAUGGCUGAGGGCAGGUAGCUAUGCAACUUGCUGGGGAUAGAAUCUCGGGAAACUCUACUGGGAAUAAUGUCGGAUGUAUCGUGGAUGUCGCAUCUGUGGUCAAUGCUUUUUGCAUGUUAUUUUUUCAAUUUUCAUUCAUUCAUUUUUUUUGCAUCCCAUUUUUGCCUGGAUCGCCCUUUCGGGUUUUCGAUCCACCGGGGAAAUAAAUUCUUUUCAAUGCCCCAUUUUUGCCUGAACUGCCCUUUCGGGUUGUCAAUCCAGCGGGGUGCUCAUUUUUGCCUAAGCCACCCUUCCGGGUUUUCAACUUAGCGAGCCUAUUCAUUUUCAUGCAUUUUCAUUCUGUUUUUUCAUUCUUGCCAUUGACCACAGACUAUCCUGGAGGAGAACCUGCUUGUAACAUACGUUGAAAUAGACACCAACAUACACUCGCUCAUGCAUGUUCGUUUGAAUGUACCCUGUUGCUCAGGUUUGCUUUUCAAAAAACUUUUUCCAAUUUUCCAGAUGUUUGUUUCGAGCAUUUGUCAUUAUUAAAAAUAGAAGGAAAAUGUUUUUGUACAUAUCUUUGAAAGUAAAAAGAAAGCAGAGUUUCAAACAAAAGCACAGGCUCAAAUUGAUGUAUAAGAGUGGUGGUCAGCCGAAGGCGUGACUCCACGGAUUUACAAAGCUUGGAAAAUGGUAAUUUUUAUUGGUUGGUGAUACAUUGAACACAGCAAUCAUGACAUUUCCUAGGAACUUUGAAUUCGCAAGCGUAGGGGCUUUUGAUGAAGAUGGCCAUUAACAGCUGCAGAUGCCCCAAGGGAGACGGUGGUUGACCAGAUAUAGUUACUUGCCUUUUGUUUCAAUCUCAUUUUUGCAUGAACCGCCCUUCCGGGUUUUCGGCUCAUCGAGACGCUCAUUCUUGCCUGAGUUGCAUGCAAUCGCAGCGAGCUUUUUAUAUAAUUUUUUUUUGUGUCCCUUAUUUUUGCCUGGACCGCCCUUUCGGGUUUUCGAUCCACCGGGAAGCGCAUUUUUGCCUAGGCCGCCCUUUCGGGUUUUCGACCUACCACGCUGUUCUUUUCACAUUUCUAGGCAAAGUAUUUCUUGACUAUAUCGGCAUUCACUGGAUUUGGAAGUUCUACACCAUCCAUGUGUGUAAGGAUUAAAGCACCACCGGAGAAGGCCUUCUUGACAACAUAAGGACCUUCAUAGUUAGGUGUCCACUUGCCCCUUGGGUCGGGUUGCUGGCUUACCCUCCUUUUCAAUACAAGUUCUCCUACCUUGAAUUCUCGAGGAUGGACUUUCUUGUCAAAGGCAGUCUUCAUUCUUGCUUGAUAUGACUGUCCACGAGCCAUGGCAUCCAUACAUUUUUCCUCAAUCAAAUUCAACUGAUCAUACCGGCUCUGGCACCAUUCAGCCUCAGAUAACUUUGCUUCCAUGAUCACACGGAGAGAUGGGAUCUCCACUUCCAAAGGAAGAACUGCUUCCAUACCAUAUACAAGAGAGAAAGGGGUUGCCCCGGUUGAACUGCGCAUGGUAGUACGGUAGCCAUGCAGAGCAUAGGGUAGCAUCUCAUGCCAGUCCUUGUAAGUGGUUACCAUCUUUUGGACAAUUCUCUUGAUAUUCUUGUUGGCGGCCUCAACGGCACCAUUCAUCUGAGGUCUAUAAGGAGAAGAGUUAUGAUGCUCAAUUUUGAAUUCUUCACAAAGAGCUUGCACCACAUUGUUAUUCAGGUUGGUACCAUUGUCGGUAAUAAUCUUGCUGGGAACACCAUAUCGACAGAUGAUGCUGUUCUUGAUGAACUUAGCUACCACUUGCUUGGUCACAUUGGUAUAAGAUGAUGCUUCAACCCACUUGGUGAAGUAGUCAAUUGCCACUAAGAUGAAACGAUGACCAUUUGAAGCCUUCGGUUCAAUUCUUCCAAUCAUGUCGAUGCCCCACAUUGAAAACGGCCAUGGGGAUGAAAUAAUGUUGAGAGCGUGCGGAGGCACAUGAAUCUUAUCAGCAUAGAUUUGACAUUUGUGGCACUUUCUGGCGUGUUGAUAGCAAUCAUGCUCCAUGGCCAUCCAGUAGUAACCUGCCCGUAACAACUUCCUUGACAUAGUAUGCCCUGUAGCAUGGGUCCCGAAGGUACCAUCAUGUACAUCAUGCAUUAACUGCUCUGCUUCGUGUUCAUCAACACACCUUAAUAAUACCAUGUCAUAGUUUCUUUUGUACAGAAUAUCUCCAUCUAACAUGAAUCUACUGGCCAAUCUUCUCAGGGUCUUCUUGUCUUGAUUGGAAGCACCUGGCGGAUACUCACGGCUCAGCAAGAACUGUUUGAUGUCGUAGUACCAGGGUUUAUAGUCAACCAUAUUUUCACCAGCCUGAUCGAUCACAUCCCCAAUAGCAAACACAUGUGAAGGUCUUUCAAGGCGUUGCACUUUGAUUAUUGGCACAUCAUUCCAAUGGUUUACUUGAAACAUGGAGGAUAGAGUAGCAAGAGCAUCAGCCAUUUGGUUCUCAUCACGAGGAAUAUGGUGCAGCUCAACCUUUGUAAAAUAUGUCAGCAAACGUCUCGCAUAAUCACGAUAAGGAAUCAACUUGGCAUGGUGGGUCUCCCAUUCACCCUUUAUCUGAUUGAUGACGAGCGCAGAAUCUCCAUAGAUGUCGAGGUGUUUGAUUCUCAUGUCAAUUGCUUCCUCGAUCCCAAAGAUACAUGCUUCAUACUCAGCCAUAUUGUUUGUACAUUCGAACAGAAUUCUGGCGGUAAAAGGGAUGUGAUGCCCCUGUGGGGAUACAAUGACUGCCCCAAUUCCCUUACCAUAAGCAUUGACAGCACCAUCAAAGACUAAACCCCACUUGCUAUUGGGAUCUGGACCUUCAUCAAUCAACGGUUCUUCGCAGUCUUUUGAUUUUAAAUACAUGAUCUCUUCAUCGGGGAAAUCGAACUCAAUUGGUUGGUAAUCAUCAAGAGGUUGGUAAGCAAGAUGAUCGGCAAGAAUGCUACCUUUGAUUCCCUUUUGAGUUUUGAACACAACAUCGUAUUCAGACAAAAGCAUCUGCCAGCGUGCAAUCUUCCUAGUAACAGCAGCUUUCUCAAAGAUAUACUUUAUCGGAUCCAUUCUGGAUAUCAACCACGUUGUAUGAUUCACCAAAUAAUGACGCAGGCGUUUAGCGGCCCAGGCCAAAGCGCAACAAGUCUUCUCAAGCAUUGUAUACCGAGUUUCACAAUCGGUGAACUUCUUGCUUAGAUAGUAGAUAGCAUGUUCUUUCUUUCCAGUCUCAUCUUGUUGACCAAGUACGCAUCCCAUGGAUUCAUCAAAUACUGCCAAAUACAUAAUCAAAGGCCUUCCUUCCACGGGUGGGACAAGGAUAGGUGGUUCCAGCAGGUAAUUCUUGAUGCUAUCAAAAGCUUCUUGGCAUUCAUCAUUCCAUACAACAGGCUGAUUCUUUCUGAGUAGCUUGAAGAUCGGCCCGCAGGUUGCGGUCAUGUGAGAUAUGAAUCGGGAGAUGUAAUUCAAACGUCCGAGGAAACCUCUGACUUGCUUCUCGGUCUGUGGAGCUGGCAUUUCUCGGAUGGCCCGGACUUUAUCAGGAUCGACUUCAAUGCCCUUUUGGCUGACAAUGAAGCCUAAUAACUUCCCGGAUCUGACGCCGAAUGUACAUUUGUUGGGAUUCAAUCGAAGCUUGUAUUUUCUCAACCUUUCGAACAUCUUCGUCAAAUACUCAACAUGUUGCUCCUCAUCUGUUGACUUCACAAUCAUGUCGUCCACAUAUACUUCGACUUCUUUGUGAAUCAUGUCAUGAAACAGAGUAGUCAUUCCUCUUUGGUAGGUAGCACCAGCAUUUAUUAGGCCGAACGGCAUCACUUUGUAGCAGAAAGUACCCCAUGGAGUGAUAAAAGACGUCUUUUCUCUAUCUUCAGGAGACAUUUUGAUCUGAUUGUAACCGGAGAAACCAUCCAUGAAGGAGAACACCUUAGACUGAGCAGUGUUAUCAACGAGCACAUCAAUAUGAGGUAAUGGAAAGUUGUCUUUUGGACUAGCUUUGUUCAGGUCUCUGAAGUCAACACACAUCCGGACUUUACCAUCCUUCUUUGGCACAGGUACAAUAUUGGCAACCCAUUCAGGGUACUCAACUGUCAUGAGGAAACCCGCAUCAAUCUGUUUUUGAACCUCGCUCUUAAUCUUGAGAGCCAUAUCUGGAUGAGUCCUUCUCAAUUUCUGCCUGACGGGAGGACAUUCAGGCUUGGUGGGGAUCCGAUGCUCCACAAUCAUAGGAUCUAGACCUGGCAUAUCUUCAUACGACCAUGCAAAAAUAUCCGGAUAUUCCUGGAGGAGUUGGAUGAUCUUCUUUUUAACCCCUUCCUCUAGAGCAGCACCGAUCUUGAUUUCUCGCUUGUUCUCCUCGGUACCUAUGUUGAUAAGCUCAAUCUCUUCCUGGUGAGGCUGAAUGGCUUUCUUUUCUUGCUCAAGUAGCCGAGUGAUCUCAUAUGGUAUGUCAUCACCUUCCUCAUCUUCGGCUUCAUACACUAGGAAUUCAAAAUCCAGAGGGAAUGCAGGGUUACUGUGCCCAACGGGUUUAUUAUAGUUCAAUCUGCGUAAAAUGGUUGGAUGAUUUUAGAAAGAGGUUUUUUAUGCAGAUUUUGAAAUUAAUAAGAAAAUACAGAUGUUUUGGUUUUUUCUGGCAUUACCAUUAUUUCCAAGGAAAAAAGACACUAAAAAAAAGCAGUCGUGAAAGAAACGACAAUUUUUUAUUAAUCAAUGGCAAUGCCGAAACAAACAUGCCCUUACAGAAAAUAUCACUCUCGCUUUGGGCAGAGCGAGAGGAUUGUUAUUUUGAAAAAACAAGAUACUUAAGCAACAAGGUAUAUUACUCAGAAACAUGCAUGAUUGAGGGAAUGUCAAUGGCAUCCCAAUCUCUCGCAAUGCCUCCUGGUGUAACAAAUACAGGCCUCGGGCCAAAUCCAGUUGCUUCUUCUGUGAUUGCGUUGACAAACCCAGCACUAUAGAAUGCCCCGGUGGAAACUCCUGAAGUUGGGGAAAAGCCAAGACCUUCCUUAUGCUUGUUCUCACGAAGCUGUAUUAACCUGCCCCAGCCGGCAGCUUGACCCUCUUGGACGGCUCUCUAUGCAUCCUUCAAAGAAGCCAUUGCAGUCCCAUCCCUCUUGGGCUCCGUACCUUCGACAGUUAAUCCUUGAAAAGCGGUCCCCUCUGCAGACCCUGCCUCUAUGCAAGAGAAAGAUGAUAGCUGGCUAACCAGGUAUGCCUCCUCUCCAUGAAUGGUAACAAGCUUUCCACUUUUUGCAAAUUUCAACUUUUGGUGCAAAGUAGAGGUCACCGCUCCUGCGUCAUGUAUCCAUGGUCUCCCCAAGAGACAGCUGUAAGAGGCAUUAAUAUCCAUGACCUGAAAGGUGAUUAGAAAGGUUUCGGGGCCGAUAGUUAUGGGCAAGUUUAUCUCCCCGAGAACACUCUUGCGGGUUCCAUCAAAGGCUUUGACCAGAAAAGUGCUCCUCCUCAAGGGAGUUCCCCGGUAACUCAGCUGAUCCAGCGUUGACUUGGGCAUCACGUUCAAAGAUGAGCCAGUGUCUACUAACACAUUUGAGAUCAUGUCGGACUUGCAAUUCACAGAGAUAUGCAAGGCCAGAUUAUGAUGCUUUCCUGCUUCGGGCAAUUCAUCUUCACUGAACCACAGGUUGCUGCAGGCGGUAAUGUUCCCCACUAUGCUACCAAAGUGAUCCACAGUUACUUCAUGAUCCACAUAAGCCUGCUCCAAUACUUUCAAAAGGGUAUCUCUGUGAGCAGCGGAACUCAGGAGUAGAGACAAAAUGGAUAUCUUCGACGGAGUUUGCAACAGCUGAUCCACAAUCUUAUAAUCACUUCUUUUGAUCAACCUCAAAAUCUCGUCCAGAUUAGAAUCCUCUAUAGACCGGCCUUGUUGGCUCGCGUCUCUGUUAACGGGAGAAACAUCAAUCGGGGUUGGCUUGUCAAUGGAUGGCACGGUAGGCGUAGCGGCCUUCUUUUGAAACAACGGUGGACGGACUCUUCCGCUUCUAAGGGCUGCUGAAGUUCCUUCGGCGGUAUUGUUCAUCACAGCCAAGGACACCAGAGGCACUUCUACUCCGUUUUCGAUUAUGGUAGCAUUAUAUUUGUACGGGAUAGCCCUAUCUGAAGUAUACGGUACCGGUCCGGGCAACCUUAUCACCAGUGGCUCAGCAUUCUCCUUCAAAGGCAUACUCUUGACAGGCGGAUCGUGAAAAACUGACACAAUCACGCAGACAUCACUAACAGUCAAAAAAUUAUCAUUCAUCAAGCUUUGGAUGUCGUCUUGAACAGUAUAGCAACCCAAAGGAUUACGAAGGCAUCCUAGGCACUCGGCAUGAUCAUGGCUGAACAGAGAAGCUUUGCACAGCUUGAUGUGUAGAGGCACCAGAGGAGUUGCGACGUUACGGACAUCAAGUCUAGGAGCUUCCUCACAUACUUUGAUCAUAUUUACAGCGGCAUGAUUUGGAAGAGGAUUGUCGAGGACGUGCGGGACAUUAUUCUCAAAAGUCAGCUUUCCUUGAUCAAUGAGCUUUUUCACGAUAUACUUCAAAGCAUAGCACCCCUCGACAUCAUGACCCAAGGCGCCUUGAUGAAAAUCACAUUUGAGAUCGGACCUGAACCUUGGAGGCAACGGAUCAGGUGGGGGCUUGCCCUGUCUAGUUGUACAAUGCCCUCUAUGGAGUAAAGUCGGAAGCAACUCAGCAUACAACAUCGGUAUCGGAGGGAAAGUAGGUCUAGCUUGCUGAUUUUGUUGUUGUUGUUCAACUGGCAACUGUUGUUUCAUCUGUUGAGCGAUUGCAUUAACGGGUACUUGAGGUUGACCCGGUGGCAGAGGGUACUGAUGAUAAAAUGGCGGAAAGAAAGGAUGCUGAGAAUACGGCGCAUAUGGGUAUGACGGAGGCAUUUGGGCUGCAUUGAUAGGAGCAACAGUAGCCAUGGAUUGACCGGCUCCAGCUGACACCAUCCCUACUUCCGUUUCUUUCUUCUUGUGGUGUCCAUUACCAUACCUCUUUGAUGCAUUCACAGAAGAUUCAGCUUUCUCGAACACAAUGAUUCCUUCCCUGACGGCUUCCUCCAGACGAGUUCCCAUGGUGACCAUCUCCGAAAAGUUAUUCGGGGCAGCGAUGAUCAUUCUCUCAACAUAAUCCUUCUUCAAGGUCUUUAAGAAUGUCUGGGUCAUUUCUUCUUCAUCAAGAGCGGGAGUAAUGCGGGCAGCUGCCCCCCUCCAUCUCUGUGCGUAUUCACGGAAGCUUUCCUCCUUCUUCUGGGAGAGAGAUCUGAGGAAUUCCCUGUUCGGCUUCAAUCUGGUGUUAAACCCAUAGUGGCUCUUGAAAGCAGCGGCUAAUUCAUCAAAGGUAUGGAUGUCAUUUUUGCUCAAACUAGUAUACCACUCUGCAGCAUCUUCCAUCAAGCUAUCCUGGAAGCAGUGGAUCAUAAGGGAAUCAUUGUCUUUGUAAUUGCCCAUCUUUCGGACGUACUUGAUGAUGUGGUUCUGGGGACAAGUCAGCCCGUUGUAUCGGUCGAAAUCUGGGAUUUUGAACUUCUUAGGGACAUCCACCUUUGACACCAAGCAGAGAUCUUGAGUUUUGAAAGAGUCCGCAUUCCCUCGAUUGGCUUUAAUUUCAUGACGGAUUUCUUUAGCAAGUUCCUCCAUCAUCUCUUCCAUGGUUUUGGUCACGGGGAUGUUUCCGUGCUGUGUGUUGAUGUUAACACUUUGAGGCCUGGUAUGCACAAGAGGCUCAGUGACAGCUGCCGUUGUUUGUGGCAAAGUAGUAUUGAUGGAGACAACAUUUGUUGCAGGAAUCAGAACAUUGUUAGCAGUGCCCGAAGUGCCCGCUGCAGUACUGGGAGUGAAGAACGGUGGAAGCCCAUACGGAAACCCAGCUGGCAUAGCGAAGCGAGCGUCUGUAGAUGCAGUUGGGAGCAUGCUUGUAGUCACCGGUAUAGCUGUGGCUAUAGGGAUAGCCGUGGCUGAUUGUUCUUGAGCGGCUAGUAAAGCGGUCAUGACAUCAUUGGCCUUAGCCAAUUCUUCCCUUAGAGUGGCUAACUCGGUACGGAGCUGAGCAUUCUCUUCUUCCAUGGCUGCCGAAUUCUUCUUUCUGUAGAGUCUAGUCCGGUGUAUUCUGUCUGAUUCGUAAACUUUCCGAGCACGAGCCACCUUUCAAUCUCUGUGGCAGAAGAACCAGGAGGCAGUGAGCACUUGUAAACCUUUUGUGGCUUGAUGAAUGAUGCACAUGAUGCAUGAUAUGUACAAAUGCAAAUGCAAAAGUUUUUUUUGGACAUCGAAGAAUUUUUAGACAAAUUAGGAGUUUUGUAAACAAUAUCUAAACAAACAAAGCAAAACGAAGUGUUUACAAGAUGAAUCCCUUUGAAAUACUAAGCCAAGGGAAGACUUUUGAAAUAUAAACAAAUAAAACUCUCAAGCAUAGGAAGUAGUGGGAUGAUCCUCAGACUCAGACUCCGAAUCCGAACCGCAGUAUCUAGCAUAGAAGUUGCGUCGUCCUCUAGCUCUCUUGGAGUCCCGCAUAAGCAGCUCAUCCUUUUCUUCAAGUUCCCUUCGGACCUUGACCAAUUCCUUCUUCAACAUCAGGUUCUCAUGAGUCUUCUGCUCGUCCUUACCAUCCAAAGUCAUGAUUAGAUUCUCAGCCUCAUUGUAUCGGGCUUUCCACAUUUGUUUCUCACGACUUUCCAUGGCCAGAUGCUCCUGAUACAUCUCCUGAGUUGUGGGAGGUAGAGGUAAAGGUAUAGAUGGAGCAGAUGCAGCCACAUGUCUCAUAGCAGGGUAUGGCAUACCAAUCUCUUCAGCUCGGUUUAUUACCCACUGAGUAUAGGCCUCAUGAGCAAUACCAGAUCUCACACCCAAAUGCUUCACACUCUUCCUACGGACCUUAGACCAAGCCCUUGUGAAAGCCUCCCUUUGUCCGGUGGGGGCGUUCGAAUAAUAGAAGAACUCCGGAGAUGUAGCAAGAUUGAUGGGCUUUGUCUUCAUAGGGAACCCAAACUGUCUCAUAGCAAGCUCCGGAUUGUAGUUGAUUCCCCCACGGGUACCAAGAAGAGGUACAUUGAGAAAGUCUCCACAACUAGUAAUAAUCUCCUUAACCUGAGCGGCGGGAGUGAUCUAGACCACCUCGUUAGGAGAGAGAGCCAUCAUCCGCUGUGAGUAGGACCAAUCCUCCGAGUUGUCAUGGAAGGAGCUCGGAAGGUGAGAAAUAAACCACCUAUAUAGGAGAGGCACGCAGCAAAGGAUAUACCCACGACCUUUGAGAGUCCGGUCAUGGAUAGCAUGGUACAUGUCAGCUAGCAAGGUAGGAACCGGAUUCCUAGAAUGGAAGAUCUCAAUAGCAUUCAUGUCCACAAAGUUGUCGAGAUUCGGGAAGAGAAUGAGCCCAUAGAUAAGCAAUGCAAGAAUAGCCUCGAGUGCGUCCUGACAAGUAGUUUUGAGAUUAGCUUGCUCAAGUAGAUACUUGGAAGUGAACCCUCGGAUGUGGGACUUAGUAGUAAGAUGCUUGGAGACAUCAGAAGUCUUGAGAUAGAGAUCCUUGGCAAUAACCAGAGGAGUAAGAGAAGCCCCGGGACCGGUGAAAGGCGUUUUCUCGGCUAUAGGUGAAUCCAAUAAGUGGGAAUAAGCCUCAAGAGUAGGGACCAACUGGAAAUCCGGGAAAGUGAAGCAACGGAAACUCGGGUCAUAGAAUUGCACUAGAGUGUGCACGAGCUUCUCUUCAACAUUAGUCCGGAGAAUAGUAAGCAAACCACCAUACCGGAGUCGGAAACCCGUUUGAUUCUUCACCUUGAGUGCCAAAUCUCUCAAACUAACCAAAUCAACCUCCUUGAACUUGUAGGAUUUAGUCUUCUUCAUACCUGUAAUGUUUACAAAACUUUUUAAUUUGUCCAAUCCUUCGAUGAAUGCAUGAGAAAAAAUUUAUGCAUGAAUGCAUGUAUGCAUGAUUGUUUUUUCAGUUACAAAGAAAACAUGGAGGGUUGAGAUUAAAGUCGAGGAGCCAAGGGCGGACACGGUGCCCGGUAAACUAAGGCUUAGGAUAAUAGUAACCAAGGUUCUAAUCAAGUUCCCAAACUGCAACCUCUCUUACGUAUAUCAUGGUAGCACGGGACAACGUCCGUUCCAUGUUUAUUCGCAAGAAGGUCUAGUUUGACUGUAGUAUCGCGUGACGACUAAAACUCGAGACAACACUCGGUUUCAAGCAUUGGACAUGCUCAGUGGGACGACAAAUUGAAAUUCUUGUUUCUCGCUCACUAAACUUCAACACAACUUUUUGUCUUAAGUACAAAUUGUUUAAAAUAUCAAAAUAGUCUUUUGUCCAUCAUACAUUGUAUGAGACAAAAAAUUCAAUACCAUAAAAGUUUGUCAUGUAUUGUUUUUUGACUUGUAUUGUGUUGUUAUGUCUUGUGUUUGAUCUGCAUGGUAUAGAACAUAACAAUGCAACACAAAACAUAACAACACACGAUAAAAUUUUAUGGUAUUGGACAAUUUUAUGCCAUAUACAAUAUUUGGCAAGCAAAAGAAUAUUUUAGGAUUUUAGACAACCACACGCUUCUCUCUCUUUUUUUUAAACAAAAAUUGGAAGUGGAAAAGAUCAAUGUGAUUAAUUAACAUCUAAUUGUGACCUAAUAGCCACAAUUAUGGGUUGCAAAACCUAAGUUUCUCCUAUCAAAAUAUUCAAGGCCCAAGCACUACCUGUAACCCAUCACUUAUUUUUAAGCUUGAGUAUGACAUUUUAAAUGUCUAAUAUAACAUGUUAGCUUAUUUAAAAUCAUAUUUGAUAUGGACAUGUUUAAAUAAGUGUUCACACAAAACAAAACAAAACAAAAAGUAGUUGAAUCAUAUAUUUUCCACUAGAUUAAAGUGGAAUAUUUGGCUAUCAUUUGCAUCUUAAUCAACGUUGGAAUCAACUGAUGCAAAAUCAGCUCACAUCUAAUGCUAAAUCGGCUAACAAUUGGAUCAGAUCACAAUUUAUGUUGAAUCGACUAACAACUGUGUUAUCGCGAUUUUCGGGUGUCAAGUCAUUAAUUAUGCUUGAACCUUUCAAUCUUUGAUAUUCUCUAUUUUUUCUUGGGAAGGGCGAAAUUGAGAAAAAACCCUUAGAUUCUAAGUUCGGGGGUCGCUUUCGCUACGGGAAGGUGUUAGGCACCCGGAACGAUUAUGGUAUUCCAUAAGAACCGUUCUCCUAAGUUUAUUUCUACGCUUUAUUUUUAUUGCCUACUUAUUAAAAAAGAAGUUUUAUUUGAGUGAAGAAUGGGGGGGAGAAAGUGUUUGAGGUUUUAUUUUAGUGGACUUGGAGAGGUUUUGACCUCAUGCCUACAUACCCAUUUAAGGGAUCAAACUCCAUGUAGUUCUCUCUCAAAAAAUGUUUUUUUUUUGUGUGUUUGGUUGAUUUUAGUUUUUGUUGGAAAAUGGUUUUGAAGAAGAGGAAGAGGCCUUAAAGGCAUAAGAGAGAAAAAUGUUGAAUGGUUGGUUCAAUUGUUAUUAAAAAAGUCUAAGUAGGAAUUAGGAGUCAUUUGGAUUUGUUUAAGAAAAUAAAAGAAAAAAUUCAAUGGAGUUUUGACUCCAAGGUUUGUUUGGAAAAAUUUGAGUGAUGGAAUUGGUUUAUUAUUUUCUUGAAAAUUGGCAUUUGUCUAAAAAUCGCGUUUCCUAAGCAUACAUCUAAACGGUAAUCAUGCAACGUGUGUGCGUGUCGGUGCUUGUGUCGGUGUACAUCACUUAUAGUGUCCAUAGUCCUUUACAUUGAGUCCUAAAUACAUGCUAUGGUCUUGCAAGGAAUUUAAAAAAGAACUAAUCUAUCUAAAAUUAUUACAAACUCAAUUGAUAUAGAAAUGAAUAAAAAAAAUGAUGCUAGAACUAUGUGAUGAAUGAAAUGUGAGAUGAACUGGUUAGUAUCAUAAGGCAUAAAAAUAGUAGAAAGGUAAACAAAAUUGAAUAGAAGAGCAAGAGAAAAAAAAAGGUAAUGAAAUGAAAUAAAGUGGCAAAAUAUACCUAGAAUUAGGUAUAACACUUAGACAUGCAUAUGGCUUAUAAUUCUCUCAUCAUAGCCAUUUUUAAAAGAGAUUUGAUUUUAAGCUACAAUGUGAGGAUCAUAAAAACACACAAACAAAGCAUCAUACCAUAUUCCUAGGGAUAUUUUCUACACAUUAUUUAACAUGCAAAAAAAAUAAAAAUAUCACAAAAUGUCAAAAAAUGCACCAAGAACAUAUAGGAAUUUAAUGAGCAAGAAUUAAAAAGAACAAAUGAAGAAAAUAAAAAAAAUAAGCAAGUAAAUUCUAACAUUUAGAGAAAAAAUUAAAAUGAUAGGGAAACAUUUUUAGAAAAUUUUUAGGAGCAUAAAAUGCCAAGAAAGUGUAAAAAAGUAUUUAAAAACACAACAAAAAAGCAAUUAAAAAGAGGCUCAGCAGGAUUUAAUCUGGUCCGCUGGAUGAAUCCAGAGGUCCAGAUCUAACUCCCAAGAUCACAUCACAGCCACUGGAUCAAAGAUCCAAGGGUCCAAAAAAAAGCACAAAAGAUAGUGUAAAAUGCAGGAAGCACAGUGACCGUUAGAUCAAAGAUCUAACGGUUCAAACAGAAGAUAUAACAUAUUCCACACAAAAAAUCACACACAGGAUUCAAAAUCAAACACACAGCAGCCAUCAGAUCUUGGAACAAUCCAGAUCUGAUGGUUCACAGAGCGAAGGAACACCACAGAAGCAUGCACGCGCGCGCGUGGGAACGGAGGGAGUAUAUAAAGGAAUUUUCACACAAAAAACACAUAAACCUCUUCUCCUUCUCUCUCUAAAACUCAAAAAUCACAAAAAUGCUCUCCCUUCUCUCUAGAAACUCGCCGCCGGCGAGCUAAGUGGUGGUGGUGGUGGCCGGAGUUGCUCCGGCGCGGUGGCCGGCCGUAGCGCCGCCGCGUCGGAGCGUUUUUCUUUUUUUUUCGAAAUUUUUACAUCAAAAGUUCCGUCACCACCUCCUCUACACAAAUCCGGCGUUAGUUUUAGCGAGAACGGAGCGAUUCGGACUAGAUCUACGUUUUUACUUUGAAAUUUUUUUCACACUUUUCGCAAAAAAAACUACGGAUCUAGAUAUCCUUUUCUCUAUAGAGUCCGAAUCCGAUCUCGGAAUUUCUAAAAUCCGAACGUACAAGCCUAGAUCUACAAAUACAUAUCCGUAACAAACUUUUUCACACUUUUUCUACACUAUAUGCGCGCGCGAAAAUGAAGAAAAAGAGGAGAGAAAUGUGUUACCUCUGUCGUAGAACGGAGAAAAAUCUUCGGAAAACUUCGAAUCUCCCUUUUUCCCCCUCCGUGCGCGCGCGUUUCAACUCCGUUUGUGGUUGUUUUUGCUCAAAAAUCCGGUACGUUUUGGUGUUGAUGUGAUGAUUCGCGGUGGUUUUGAGUGAAUCCGGUUCGGAUUUGUUGAUUUUGUGGUGAUUGGAGUUGAUUCUGAGCAGAUCCGGUUUAGAUCUGUUGAUUUUGGUGAUGAUGUGUUCUUGGUGUUCUUCCUCUUUUUUUCUGAGAUUUUUCUGUUUUGAUUCUGUUAUGGAUGAGAGAGAGAAAAAGAUUCUGUUUGAGACUGAUUGUGAUUGAUUCUGAUUUUUUUUCUGACUGAUUGUGAUGGAUCUGACACAUUUACUAUUUAUAGCCUGCCAUGUGUAUUGGAGACCCAAUGGAAAAUUGACACCUUGACUGUUUUGGACUUAAGGACUAAUCUGCAAAAAGGUUAAUAUGAGGACUAAUCUGCAAUAAAAAAGACUAAAAAAAAUGCAAUUAAAAAAAAAGUAUUGGACAAAAAUGCAAUUUUGGGACCCUUUUGGGGGACCGAAAUGUAAAUAAAAAAUAAAAUGAAUUAAAAUCGGUAAUUGGUAAAAAGGUAAAGUGAAACGAAAAAUAAAAUCAACAAACGGACUAAAACGAACAAAUUACCGACAUGAGGUAUUUUAAAAUACCUCCCUGUCGAAAUUUUGACAGGAAAAGACCAAAAUGCCCCUAGGGACUAAACUGACCCAAACUGACUCAGAUGCAAUUUUUGAAAUAAUUUUUAAACAAAGACUCAACAAUGAUUCGUACAGACAGGUUGAAAAGACUCAGAGGCAAACACAGGGACUAAAAUGGGUUCCACUGCAGGAAAUGACCAAAAUACCCUUUUGUAUGGUUUUUUUGAAAUAAAAUGCAAGAAAAGUAAUGCGACGUUUCAGAGGGUUCUUAAAUGACUUGUAACGUCAGAAAAGACAGAGG